UCACUCUAAGCGGUGGAUCACUCGGCUCGUGUGUCGAUGAAGAGCGCAGCCAGGUGCGUGAAUUAAUGUGAAUUGCAGGACACAUUGAACAUCGAUAUCUUGAACGCACAUUGCGGCCCUGGGUCACUCCCGGAGCCACGCCUGUCUGAGGGUCGGCGAAACAUCUA
rnacentral:rRNA from 1 species